UACGUAGGGGGCGAGCGUUAUCCGGAUUCACUGGGUGUAAAGGGAGCGUAGACGGCCAUGCAAGCCAGGGGUGAAAGCCCGGGGCCCAACCCCGGGACUGCCCUUGGAACUGCAUGGCUGGAGUGCGGGAGGGGCAGGCGGAAUUCCUGGUGUAGCGGUGAUAUGCGUAGAUAUCAGGAGGAACACCGGCGGCGAAGGCGGCCUGCUGGACCGCGACUGACGUUGAGGCUCGAAAGCGUGGGGAGCGAACAGG
rnacentral:rRNA from 1 species